CCCUUAGAUGUUCUGGGCCGCACGCGCGCUACACUGACGGAGUCAACGAGUUGUCCUGCAUCGGAAGGUGUGGGUAAUCUUUUGAAACUUCGUCGUACUGGGGAUAGAUCUUUGCAAUUUUCGAUCUUGAACGAGGAAUUCCUAGUAAGCGUGAUUCAUCAGAUCGCGUUGAUUACGUCCCUGCCCUUUGUACACACCGCCCGUCGCUACUACCGAUUGAAUGGUUUAGUGAGGCCUCGGGACUGGCGCGCUCGAGUAGCAAUACACCUGCGCGCCGGGAACUUGGUCAAACUUGNUNAUUUAGNGGAAGUAAAANUCGUANCA
rnacentral:rRNA from 1 species